GGGCCCCUGGUGUAAUGGUCUAACGCGUCUCACUCCUACUCUUGGCUAUCGAUUCUUUGCUACUCUUGUACCACCACAUUUGUAGAAUAGUUUCUUGCUUUCCAGGAGUGAGAAGAUCUCAGGUUCGAGUCCUGGGGGGGCCA